rnacentral:rRNA from 1 species
UACGGGGGGGGCAAGCGUUGUCCGGAAUUACUGGGCGUAAAGGGCUCGUAGGCGGCCAAGUAAGUCAGACGUGAAAUCCCUCGGCUUAACCGGGGAACUGCGUCUGAUACUGGAUGGCUAGAGGUUGGGAGAGGGAUGCGGAAUUCCAGGUGUAGCGGUGAAAUGCGUAGAUAUCUGGAGGAACACCGGUGGCGAAGGCGGCAACCUGGGCCAAUUCUGACGCUGAGGAGCGAAAGCCAGGGGAGCAAACGGG